AUGGUCCAGUUCAUGUCCCAGCCUUUCCAUGAAGCUCUUAAAGGAGAUCAUAGCUUAACUUUCCUACGCAGGCAAGAUGUCUCGACAUCUUGCACAGGGAUAUUCACACAAGAGGCUGCGAGAUGUCCACCAAGAGGACAGGAUCAGGUCUCUGACCGGGAGGUCAGCGUCUCUUCUCCUGGUUUAUGGUCCACAGAUACUAUACACAGAGAGAUAUAGAGGCCGACGGUCAACUUUAGUAAUGCUGACUGGUAUUUAGAUGGUGUUUGCAACAAUGGUAUAUCUUUCUUGGAUCAUGAACAGAUGGCAUUAGAAACCUUUCUGGCACAAUCAUCAUCUGAAGAACAGGAUGGAGAUAACUGCAAGAUGGAUGAGGAUUUGGAAAACAGCCUGAUACUCUGGAAGGAGUAUGACUUCUGAGUUAGGUAGACCUAGAUUUAAAUUUUGUCUGCAUCUCAUAUUAUCUCUGUAACCUUGGACAGUUUUAUUUGUCUUUAUGUGUAUUCAUUUUCUCAUCUACAAAUCUCACAGGUUUGUUAAGAGAAUUAAAUGAAAUAAUGCUUGUGAAGUACCUCUUAUUUUUAUACUUUAAAAGACUUAGAAAAAGAUAUGAGUGAGAAAAAGAGAAUACAAAGUUAGGACAUAAGUAUUUAGGAAUAGAAAUGCAAAGAUCAUGAAGUGAUGAUGACAAAAAUAUUGGUUUAGAUGCUAAGAUGGAGGCUGCUGAAUUUGCUCAGAUAAUUCAGUGGAAGAGGAGCACAGUUAGAGGUUUGAGGAGUUUGGAACCUGUGUUUAUAGGCCAAAGAUUGAGGCAACAGUGGAAAGCUGGGAAGGAGUGAGGAGAAUAUCAGAUUAAUGGGGUAGGAAUUUAUAACAUGAAUAGGUUCUAAUCUAUUAGGGGAUGGAGGCAGACAGAAGUGGAGCUCAUAAAGAGAGCUCUAACUAGCCUGGAGGGAGACUGGAUUAAUGCUCAACAGGGUGACAAGGCUGAAGGCAUCAGGUGAGUCAGCAUAAUAUUUGCUUCCCAGGGUUAUCACCCUGUGUGGUAGGACUGAGUUUGCUGCUGCU
rnacentral:lncRNA from 1 species